CAGCCGCCACGGGAAUACGUAGGGUGCGAGCGUUAAUCGGAAUUACUGGGCGUAAAGCGUGCGCAGGCGGUUGUGUAAGACAGGUGUGAAAUCCCCGGGCUUAACCCGGGAACUGCAUUUGUGACUGGCGGGCUAGAGUAUGGCAGAGGGGGGUAGAAUUCCACGUGUAGCAGUGAAAUGCGUAGAGAUGUGGAGGAAUACCGAUGGCGAAGGCAGCCCCCUGGGCCAAUACUGACGCUCAUGCACGAAAGCGUGGGGAGCAAACAGGAUUAGAUACCCCUGUAGUCCCUGUCUCUUAUAC
rnacentral:rRNA from 1 species